rnacentral:rRNA from 1 species
GAUGAACGCUGGCGGCGUGCCUAAUACAUGCAAGUCGAGCGAACGGACGAGAAGCUUGCUUCUCUGAUGUUAGCGGCGGACGGGUGAGUAACACGUGGAUAACCUACCUAUAAGACUGGGAUAACUUCGGGAAACCGGAGCUAAUACCGGAUGAUAUUUUGAACCGCAUGGUUCAAAAGUGAAAGACGGUCUUGCUGUCACUUAUAGAUGGAUCCGCGCUGUAUUAGCUAGUUGGUAAGGUAACGGCUUACCAAGGCAACGAUGCAUAGCCGACCUGAGAGGGUGAUCGGCCACACUGGAACUGAGACACGGUCCAGACUCCUACGGGAGGCAGCAGUAGGGAAUCUUCCGCAAUGGGCGAAAGCCUGACGGAGCAACGCCGCGUGAGUGAUGAAGGUCUUCGGAUCGUAAAACUCUGUUAUUAGGGAAGAACAUAUGUGUAAGUAACUGUGCACAUCUUGACGGUACCUAAUCAGAAAGCCACGGCUAACUACGUG